AUGAAAAAAUUUCAAAGAGAAGAUAUUUUUAGAAAGAUGUCAGAAGACGCAGAUAACAUUGCAGUAGAAGAAAAUGUAGACGAGCAUAUCCCAAAAGAAGAAAAUCGAAACAUAAUAGAAAGUCUGAGAGGCAAAGUAAGAGAAAAGCUAAAAAAUGCCAAGAUUAAUCAAGGUGAAAAAUCGUCAACUCAACUGCUCAUUGAUAAUAAGAUAUAUCAGUGGUCUAAGGCUGAAGUUCCACUGGAUGAAGGUCUUUCAUUUUUCAUUCUGAAUGGUGAAGAAGACUCAGCUAUAGGCCAAUCUGCAGAGCAGAGAUCAGUAAAUGGUAGUCACCACAAACAUUUUUCACUUGGUGAUGAUUUACAGAACUUUGCUGAGGGCCAAGAUGAAGAUUUUGUGGAAGAAGUCAUUUUCCCAGAUUUACUUGAAGUAAAGGCUGCCGAUUAUAAAGAUGACCAAGAACGAAUAAAAAAACAACAGGCAAAUAUUUUUGUUCCAAGUAGUUCUCCAGUGAUCAACCAGCUUAAACUGCCAGAAGAUAUGAUGCCACGCAUUUUAGAAGAAGAAGGAUUCUAUAUUCAAAAAAAGCCAGAAAUGUAUAAAAAGACCUGCAACAAAAUGGAAAAUCGUCUGCUUAAACUAGAAGAGGGAAAGUGUUGGUUUGAAGAAAGUGGAGAAAUAAUGUCAUUACCUUCACCUAUUAGACGGUCAUGGAAUUUCAGACUAAACAUAAGCAAGGAACCUUUAAAUCCAGCACUGAAGACCAUGUAUAGAAAGGCAGUGAAAUCUGAUUUAGAAAGCUCCAUUAGGAACAAAAUGGAAGGUCAAAGGGAAAUGUACCAAUUAGAUCUCAAUAUAGUGGGUUUGCAAUUCAGUCAUCAUCCUCUCUUCAAUCAAGAACAAGUAUUAUGUGCUAGGCUGCUCCAACUUUAUGAGUGUUUUCAGGACAGGCAGCAACAGAAUUUACCACAGCUGCUUUAUGAGAAGCUUAAAGCACUGACGGAUGCUACCAGAUUAGCAAAUGAAAAUUCAGAAAUAAGCCAGCUGACCAGAGAAUCUUUGCAGGAUUAUUAUUGGCAGAUAAGUGAUACAAAACAACUCUAUGAGUUAGAAAAGGAAAAGGACUUUUCCCUACUACACAGUAUAUUACGGACUUGGAAACAGAUAAAAUCCCUUCGACAACGACAAGGGUUUACAAGCACUUCAGUAAAGUUACAGUUUCAGAGGUUAAAAAUGAAUAAAUGUGAUGAACAAAAACAAGAAUUGUCAAAAAUGUCUGGGACUGAGAAGAAAACUGAAGGAAAAGCAUUUAAGAACAGGAAGAAACAGGAGAGCUUCUCAUGUUUAGCUUCAGAAUUUGAAGAAACGGAUGUUGAAAUAGUAAAUCCAAUUACCAUGAUACCACAACUUUCUUUCACAGAAGAAUUAACAAACUUAUCUAGAUGUUCACUUGUGUUAAGGAAUGUAGAUGCAAGAGGUGUUCCUGAAAUUCCAUGGCUUAUUAAUGCACAGAAGCUUUUUGAAUGGGCCAAUGAGGUCAGAAUUGACCCAAAUAACCCAGAAUGUUCUGAUUUAAUGGAAUUUAUUACGUACAUAAAACAUAAAGGACAGGAUAUCCCAAAGUAUUUUCGUCUUGAGCAGUUGCAAGAUGAAUUUAACUUUGCUUCUGAAGAGGAAAUGAAAAAGAGUAAACGUUUCCAGCUAUUGCAACUUAGAAAUGCUGGUCAAUUAGAUGUUUUCCUUCUGCAGCAAAUGCCCCUUUAUGAUACAGAGAUUCCAGAUUUAGUCUUCCAGAUGAGAAGGUUGGUAAUGAGAAGAAUUGUCAAAGUUAGCAAAUUUAACUUAUCAGAUAUUGUGGCUGAUUAUGAAGAAAUUAUAUCUGCAAGCCAGUUGACAUAUGCAGUUUGUAAACUUCUUGAACAACGAAGAAAGUUAAAGCCUCAGAGGAAAGAAAGGAAAAAAGUGGCAGCACAGACUAUCUGUGAUAGAGAUAUUAAGAUUCUUAUCAGAAUACUGAGAGCUUAUAAUAUUCCUACAAGGAGAACAACAGUUAAUAGCUUACCAGGACAUGAUUGUAACUUCUCAAGUUUAUCUAAAAUAAAAGAUAAUAUAUAUAUCAACAUUUUUGAUGAAAUGAUUAUUGAAAAGCAUGAGAUUAGCGGAACAUUUCAAGUAAAUAUUCCACCCUUUUUGCUUGGGUAUACUUGGAGUAAGACUUAUGUGUCUCCUAAAGAAGAUUAUAAUGGACAGAAUUUAAAAGAAUGUACCUUCUUAAACAUUUUUGCUACUAUUGAACCUCAAAUAUCAUAUGCCAUCUGUAGUCCAGCACUAGACAAGUUUUCAGAUCAAAUAGACAUUUUGGAGAGAGCACGGAUUUUUACAAAAGCUUGUAAGGCAUUAUUUCCUAAACGAAGAAUCACCACUACUGUUUUUAAUGAUGAAGGGAUACAGAUCUUAGUGAUAAGAUACAUCAAGGCAUUGAAUCCACCUCAACAACUCCUGGAUAUGUUUCUUCAUGAUUCUAAUGCAAGACUUGACCUUGUUGCUCACUUUGUAUCUUUGAUUCCCAUUAUGCCUGAUGCACUGGAUGAAAAUGAUGGUUUUGAUAUAUGGAUGACAUCAGAGGGGCCCGUGGCGUAUGUAUUAACUCAGGAAACUGAUGAAUAUUUGCUUUGGAAUCCAUUAACUGGACAGUGUCAUAAGCAGUUUGACCCAUUUUGUCCGUUACAAGGUGUAGAUUGUUUGUUUGAUGGUGAAAACGUCUGGUUUAAUCUUCAGCAGAAUAAUUCACCAAUGGCUGUGUAUUUUGACUAUUCAAAGGAAAGUUUCUGGAAACAGUUGCUUCCAAAAAAUUAUCAAGGAACAAAAACACAAAGCAUUCAGGUCACAGGAUUUCCUAUCCAGAUGCCAUACACUGAUGUACAGUCAGUUAUUGAUGCUGUGUAUCAAACUGGAAUUCAUUCUUCUGAAUUUCCACAGACAGAAUUUGCUCUAGCUGUGUACAUUCACCCCUACCCAAACAACAUAUUAUCUGUGUGGGUCUAUUUGGCUUCAUUAGCUCGACAUCAGUGA
rnacentral:lncRNA from 1 species